GACGAACGCUGGCGGCGUGCCUAAUACAUGCAAGUAGAACGCACAGUUUAUACCGUAGCUUGCUACACCAUAGACUGUGAGUUGCGAACGGGUGAGUAACGCGUAGGUAACCUGCCUGGUAGCGGGGGAUAACUAUUGGAAACGAUAGCUAAUACCGCAUAAUAUUAAUUAUUGCAUGAUAAUUAAUUGAAAGGUGCAAUUGCACCACUACCAGAUGGACCUGCGUUGUAUUAGCUAGUAGGUGAGGUAACGGCCCACCUAGGCGACGAUACAUAGCCGACCUGGGAGGGUGAUCGGCCACACUGGGACUGAGACACGGCCCAGACUCCUACGGGAGGCAGCAGUAGGGAAUCUUCGGCAAUGGACGAAAGUCUGACCGAGCAACGCCGCGUGAGUGAAGAAGGUUUUCGGAUCGUAAAGCUCUGUUGUAAGAGAAGAACGGGUGUGAGAGUGGAAAGUUCACACUGUGACGGUAUCUUACCAGAAAGGGACGGCUAACUACGUG
rnacentral:rRNA from 1 species